CACGCAUGAGAACACAGGAACUUCUGGUGUGCGUACGGGCUGAAACCUUUGGAAGUUCACAGUGAGGAAGCGUGUGCCUGACACCUGUUGAGGAUGUCCUCUACAAGCUGCUGCAGCAGACUGCACUCCUGCCCCAGUCCACAAGGCUUCCUUGCCUCCACCAUAACUAAAGUGAUUCUAGGCUUGCUGCUCUUCGGUGUGGUCUGGGCGAUGGUGGGUCAGGAGUGUGAACCGGGUCAGAACCUGUUUGGACUGCUGGUGUUGUUCCUCUCUGCUGUGUGUGGGGGAAACCUGGUGGGCAUGAUACACCUACCCAGCCUGCCCC
ensembl:lncRNA